UAAUUAUGUUAUUUAAAAGCAAAUGACUGAUAACAACAUAAUAUGUUAUUCUAUAAACUUUUUACCAUUUUAAAUGGUUACAAUUCUUCUUUUAUCAAACAGAUCUUAUUAAGGUUGGUCUGUAAUAUACAGGUAUAUUAUGAAUGAUAUAUUUUGCAUGCGUAUGUAUUUUAAACGUUCAUAAGUUUAUUUAGCUUUAGACGCAGUAACAGCUUAUAUAUAUGUUUAUGUGCUUUACUAUGCUAUUUUAACACAGGGUCGAAAACUCAACCGACAGUUUCUCAUGAAAUAGAAUUAACUGGACCACCAACUGCUCUGGAUACCUACGAGCAACUUCAAAACAGAACAGAUACUGAAAUCAGGGGAACUUAUGAUUCUCUUGACGUCAACUACAGAGUACAACAAAACAGCGAAUCACAGUAUGAAAGUCUGAAUCAGGAAUCAGAGAAAUAUCACACAUAUACAGAUCUAAAACAAAGCCGAUAAAUCUGAAGAACCUACUUGAGAGAUUCGCCUUGAACGUUCGUGUCUGUUCGGGAAACUUUAUAGAAGGAUUGUUUGUAAAAUUUGUAUUUCUGUUAUUUUAAUAAAGAAAAUUAAUGAAAGAUAUCGUUAAACAAAUAGUCUCACUGUACAUAAAGAUAUUAUUGUGUAAUAUAUGAAAAGGACUAUGUAUUCUGUUAUAUAAACACCUGGAAAUAAGUUAAGCACACCCGGCAUUUUGCCUCGAUUUUGACAUGACCACAACUGAAAUCUUUAAUUUUAUUUGGGCACUGGUAUGAACCACCUAUAGUCAACCUGCAACAGCUGGAACAAGCUCUGCACCAAGAGUGGCAACAAUUCCCUCAAAAUCGCAUUAGACGCCUUACUAUUAUGAGAGGAAGGGUUGAGGCUAUCAUCUGGGCACGUGACGGCUACACACACUACUAAAUAAUCGGCUACAAAAUGUUAUUUACAAAACAUAUCUACCAGUACAUGUUUUGCAAACUCUUCAACUUAUAAACACUUACACUUUUUGUAAAAAACACUACAUUUGCUUAAGCUUCAAUUAUUUGGUGAACUUAGAAAAAACUAAACUUUAAAAGUUUACUUGUUUUUGAUUACUUAAUUGAUAUCGCUACUUAUUAAAUCAACAUUUCUUAGCCUAAUUAAGUCGUCAUCUCAUGACAGUGCUUUCAGUAAAAAAUAUUUUAAUUUCCUUGGUGUGCUUAACUUAUUUUAAGGUGUAUGUAUAACGGGUCUUUUGGUAAAAUACUGUUUUAAGGACUAGUUUUUUCGGGCAUUUAUUUUGCUACUUGAAUUAUUCAACAUUUUUAAUUGAAUUUUUAUACAUCUUAUUCCUCACACUUGUAAAUCUUAAAUAUGUGUAAUAUCAAAAGUAAAUUGAUUGGCCAAUAUCCAUUUCAGAUAGAUGAUUACAAAUCAAGCUAAUAUUACUAGUAUCCUUUGUUAAUUUUGCUUAAGCGUGUACGUUUUUUUUAUUCUAGUGAUAUUUUGUUAUAAUUGUUAUCUUACAUUUUCUGUAAAUAAGACAUGACAGAUUUGUAUUCACGUAUUAUCUGUAUAUAUAUAUCACAAUGAAUAUAUUGUUGUUCGUUCGCCUAUUUAUUCAUCCGUAUGAAACUUCUAUAAGAAUUCUUGGUUAGAUAUGAAUUUAACUGUGCUUAAAUUUUUAUGUGAAAAAGGACAGAAGACUCAUCAAAUAUCAUACUUGUUAAAUCGAUGGAGUUAUGAGUUAGUUAUACGUUCAAUAUUGUAUUAUUAUGUAAUAUUUCCUUGUAAUACUUGUAUAUAUAUAUUGAUGUCACGGGGUGAGAAAAAUGAGCAGCCCGACCGGGACUCGAACCCGGGACCUUUGGAUUACCGUUCUGCGGCUCUACCGACUGAGCUAUCCGGCCGCUUACACAUUUCUCCCCUAAAAAGUAAACAGGUCUGAACCUUGACAUACUUCACCACAAUAUUGAAAUUCGUCUUCGGAUUUCACAAAGCUACAGAGCAAUGCUAAUUGAACUCUGAGCUAGAUGCAGUCACGGUCCCCCGGUUGGCGCCAAAUGCCACAGCUUGAGAAAAAUGUGCAACCUGACCGGGACUCGAACCCGGGACGUUCGGAAUACCGUUCCGCGGCUCUACCGACUGAGUUUUCCGGCCGCAUUUUCUCCCCUAAAUAGUGAACAGUUCUGAACCGUGACAUUAUCAUGUAAGUUAAUUUGAACAUGUGCUGCAGGUAACCGUUAUUGUUCGAAUUAAAUCUAGUUUGUAUGCCAGAUAUUGAGUUAUAAGUCUUUCUAAUAAUUAUUAUUAAGUAAGUAAGAAAGAAUGCCAGAAACAAGCAAAAUCUAAUAUUGCUUUGUUGGAUUUUAAUUAUAGUAGUAAAUCAGGAUGAAUGUUAAAGGGCAUCAUAAUCUACUAGUUUGUUUUCGGGUUCCUUGCCCUUAAGAAAUUCAGAAUAAACCGUUUGGAAUGUUUUUGCCCAAAGUUAUUUUUAUAAGACAAUAUCAAAGUAAUUUCUGUUUCUUUAACAAAUUCAUAAAUUUUAAUUCAAUUUAGUCAAUCCUGCAUGGGAUAACGAGCUGCUCCAUACAAUUAAACAGCCACUUUUGUAUGUUUUGUAUUAUUUUUUGUUGUAUUAAGAAUUACUUUAAGUGAAUUGGUUUAUAAAGGAAGGUUGGUUUGUGAAUGGGUAAUUGGUAUCAUACAUGACAACAAACCAUAAAAAAUAUACAUUUAUAUAUGAGUGUUGUUGGUAAGUGUGAGACACACGAUCCAAUAUUACAUAGCUUUAAAUACAAUGUAGCAGUUGAUGAAUUGAUUUAGAUUAAAUAUUAUACAUAUCAUAUAAAUGUUCAUAUCAAACCAUUUAGAUUAUCAACAUGUUUUAUGUAGAAAUAUUUCAUAUUAUUUUCUAAAUAAUACAUUGCUACUGAUUUUAUCAAUAUAUUUGAAAUAAUUAUAAACAUAUGUGUCACUUGUAGACCACUUAAUUUUAGAAAUACUACUGAUUUAUUAGUUUCUUACGGUCCUUUUAGCAUACAUAUUUUAUAUAUAGGUGCAUAAAAGGUUCUUAUGAAGAAAAUGAUCUAUUAUUGGAAAUACAAUAGACGUAUAGACAAUGAAAUUAUGAUUUUUUAUUUCAAAAUAUGAUCUUAUGUCGUUUGCCUAACAAGCUUGUACAUCUGAACAGUGUCUGACUUGCCUAGAGUCAAGCAAGCUUGUACAUCCGGACAGUCUGACUUGCCUAGGGCCUAGUUAGCAUGUAUAUCCGGACAGUGUCUGCCUUGCCUAGAGCCUAACAAGCUUGUACAUCCGGACAAUGUCUGACUUGCCAAGAGCCAGACAAGCUUGUAUAUCCGGGCAUUCUGACUUGCCUAGAUCCAAGCAAGUCUGUACGUCCGGACAGUCUGACAUGUCUAGACUCUGGCAAGCUUGUACAUUGGGCAGCUGGAGUUGCCUAUGGCCUGACAAGCUUGUACAUCCGGAGAGUGGCUGACUUGCCUAGAGCCUGGCAAGCUUUUACAUCCGGACAGUGUCUGCCUUGCCUAGAGCCUGACAAGUUUUUACAUCCAGACAAUGUCUGACUUGCCUAGAGCCUGACAAGCUUGUUUAUCCGGGCAUUCUGACUUGUCUAGAUCCAAGCAAGCUUGUACGUCCAGACAGUCUGACAUGUCUCGACCCUGGCAAGCAUGUACAUAGGGCAGUUUGACUUGCCAAGGGCCUGGUAAGCUUGUACACCCGGACAGUGUCUGACAUGUCUAGGGCCUGGCAAGCUUGUACAUCCGGUAAGUCUGACUUGACAAGACCAUGACAAGCUUGUUCAUCCAACAGUUCCUGAAUUGCCUAGAACCACGCACGCUUAUACAUCUUAUUUGCCUAGGGCCUGGCGAGCUUGUACAUCCAGGGAGUCUGACAUGAUAAGAGCCUGGAAAGUUUGUGCAUCUUGACAUUCUGACUCAAGCUUUUUCAUCCGGGCAUUCUGACUUGCCUAGAGCUUGCCAAGCUUGUACAUUCGGGCAAUGUGACUUGCAUAGAUCCUGGCAAGCUUAUACAUCCGGGCUCUCUGACUUGCCUACAACCUGGCAAGCAAGUACAUCCGGGCGAUUUGACUUGCAUAGCCAGGCAAGCUUGUAUAAUCGAACAGCCUGACUUGCUAAGAGCCAAGCAAGUUUGUACAUCCAGGUCUUUUAACUUGCCUAGAGCCAUGAAAGCUUGUAAAUCCGGGCCGUCUGACUCGAAUAGAGCCAAGCCAGCUGAUACAUCCGGGCAGUCUGUCAUGUCUAGAACCAGGCAAGCUUGUACAUCCGGGCAUUCUGACUUGCUAAGAGGCAGUUAAGCUUGAAAAUCCGGACGGACUGACUUGCCUAGGGCCAGAGAAGCUUAUACAUCCGGGCAGUCUAAAAUGCCUAGAGCCAGACAAGCUGAUACAUCCGGGCAGUCUGAAAUGCCUAGAGCCAGGAAAGCUUUUACACCCGGGCAGUCUGACUUGCAUAGAGCCAGGCAAUCUUGUACAUCCGGGCAGUCUGACUUGCAUAUAGCCAAGCAAGCUUGUACAUCAUGGCAGUCUCACUUGCCUAGGGCCAAGCAGACUUUAUCAUCCGAGCCUGACAAGUUUGUACAUCCGGACAUUCUUAGUGACUUGAUUAGAGCCAAGCAAGCUUGUUCAUCCAGGCAUUCUGACUUGCCCAGAGCCAUGCAAGCUGGUACAUCCGGUCAGUGUGACAUGUCUGGUGCCAAGCAAGCUUGUAUAUACGUACAGUCUUACUUGCUUAGGGCCUGGCAAGCUUGUAUAUGCAGACAGUCUGACUUGCCUAGAGCCUGGCGAGCUUGUACAUCCUGGCAGUCUCACUUGCUUAGAGCCUGACAAGCUUGUACCUCCGAGCAGGUUGACUUGCCUAUAGACUGGCAAGCUUGUAUAUCCGGGCAGUCUGGCUUGCCUACAGCCAAGCAAUCUUGUACAUCCAGACAGUCUGACUUGCCAAGGGCCUGGAAAGCUAGUUCAUCCGGGCAUUCUGACUGGCUUUGAGCCUGGCAAGCUUUUACAUCAGGCAGCCUGACUUGCCUACAGCCAAGCAACCUAAAUAUUCUUCAUUCUGACUCGCCUUGAUCCAAGCAAGCUUGUACAUUCGGACAGUCUGGCUUGCCUUGAGCCUGGCAAGCUUGUACAUCCGGGCAGCCUAGCGCUAUAAGUCGAUAGCUAAUAUAUUAUAUUCUGGCAAAGAAAUCCUUUUAAUAUUGAAUGAACCGUCCCAAAUUUUAAGGCAGGGUAAUUUUAUAUAUCAUGAUAGCUUGUAUGUGACUAUAUUGAGAAUUAAUUUUCAAAAUAUAGAUUCUUCUUCUUCUCAAUAUUAUAUAAUCUGACAUAGACAUCCUUUAAGAUUAAAUAAGCUGUCCCAUUUUUUUAGGAAAAUGGUUUACCAUGACAAAAUAUGAAUAUUAGCAUGUUUUAUAUAUAUUAAGCAUUACUAAUUAAAUUGCUACCGUUCUCUGUAACAGGGAAUCAACAAGACAGUUCUACUUGUUUCGUUAUUGAAUAUUUAUGUGAAAAAAUUUGAUUGCUCACAGUUUGUAUUUUUAACUCUUUCAAAACUUUUUACUUGAUUUUUUAUAUUAUGUCAUUGUGUAUUUUUCUUAUUUACAUGUAAAAUAUGUUUUAACAGAGACUUUUAUAACAGAAGGAUAAGAAGCUCUAAAAAUAUGAAAUUUUCAAAUUUUUACCACAAUCCUUUUUAAUUUCCGCUAUCUUGUUUUAUAGAACAUAAUUUGUUAUCAUUUCAUCCAAUACAAAGAACAAUUUACAUCUUCUUAAUCUUUAUUACUUUUUAAUUCCUUUUUGAAACUUCUUUUUUAUUACCAUAAGAAUUUUUAGAUUACAUGUAUACAUAAAUAAGUAUCGAUAAAAUCUCUCGUGUCAAACCGGGUCUCGGAAAAUCUCGCAAAAAUGUGAAUUUGCGUGAUUAUGAAUUCUUGACAAUGAAUUACAUUAUUUACGCUCAAUCAUAAGAAUCUUUUUCUGAAAAGUAUACCUUAUUAUAAUUAUAGGUUUUUACCUUAUUUCAGUAUUGAAGUUUGGAACAAAUAACUUAUUGCUUAUUAUCUUAAUUAUUUUGAAAUUAUCUUUGAUUACCAUGAUUAAAAUAUGAGUGUCAGUCGGAUGAAUGAAAGAAAAUAUCUAACCUUUACAUUU